AUUGAACGCUGGCGGCAGGCCUAACACAUGCAAGUCGAGCGGAUGAAGGGAGCUUGCUCCUGGAUUCAGCGGCGGACGGGUGAGUAAUGCCUAGGAAUCUGCCUGGUAGUGGGGGAUAACGUCCGGAAACGGGCGCUAAUACCGCAUACGUCCUGAGGGAGAAAGUGGGGGAUCUUCGGACCUCACGCUAUCAGAUGAGCCUAGGUCGGAUUAGCUAGUUGGUGGGGUAAAGGCCUACCAAGGCGACGAUCCGUAACUGGUCUGAGAGGAUGAUCAGUCACACUGGAACUGAGACACGGUCCAGACUCCUACGGGAGGCAGAAGUGGGGAAUAUUGGACAAUGGGCGAAAGCCUGAUCCAGCCAUGCCGCGUGUGUGAAGAAGGUCUUCGGAUUGUAAAGCACUUUAAGUUGGGAGGAAGGGCAGUAAGUUAAUGCCUUGCUGUUUUGACGUUACCAACAGAAUAAGCACCGGCUAACUUCGUG
rnacentral:rRNA from 1 species